rnacentral:tRNA from 1 species
GCUAGUAUGGCUCAGAUGGUAGAGCAGCGCAUUCGUAAUGCGCAGGUCGCCGGUUCGAAUCCGGCUACUAGCU